rnacentral:lncRNA from 1 species
GUCAUCGGGCAGCGACACAUCCAGGGGGGACAGAGGCACAGCUUCCAAAGGACAUCCAUCGCCACAGCUGUGUGUCUGUCUCCCUGUGGCUGCACGUGGAAUCUGUAGGUCUGUGCGCUGCCCCCCAGCAUGGGGACCUGUCGGACCCCCGGCUCAGCCCUCUCCCGCUCACAGGGGAAGGCAUACAAAGCAUUCCCUUCUCUUUUUGCCUCCCCACCCCGAUGCCCGGACACGAGGAUGCUCAGCUGUGGCUCCUCGGUCCCCACAGCCUCAGCCCACGCACCCACCUCCCCCGGGAAGGAGGGGAUGUGGGCUUUGAUGUGGGGAAUUCAGGCGCAUCCUCGGCGGGCCGGGAUGAGUCACGGCGGCGGCAGCAGCGCUGGAAGAGCAUCAGCACACGAUCCCCCCCGAGGCUCCGCGGCUCCGCAUCGCCCUCCGCCAGCGGUUCCGCUCCGCACGCACGCAGCUCUCUGCCCUCGGGAAAUGCCACGUCCUCCUGCCAGGUGGAGGAGCAGCGAGGUGGGCGCCGGCCCAGCAGGUGACAGUGGGACCGCAGCGCCGCAGCCCCAAACCGACCCCCUCCAUCCCCCCCUCGUAACGCAGGAGCUCAGCGCCACGGUCCUCAAGCAGCAGCGGUUAACUCCCUGAUUACACACCCUGCACGGCCAGGCCGCUUUGAGGAGUGCAAUUAAUUAACGUUUGCAUCCCUGGCGCUUGCUGACCCUGCCAGACUCGGAGCAAAUCGGCCUCUGCCGACGGGUAAUGGGUUUGCUGCAGGACGAGCUAUUUCCGAGCCGGCUUUGGAAGUCAUUUGGGGUGGCUGCCGGGCGGUGCAGCCCCGUGUUGGCUGCUGGGGCUCAUCCGGAGCUCGGGGCAAUGGGGCAAUGGGGCAGAGGUGCAGAGGGAGCAAAGCAGAGCUGUGGGGUCAGCGUGGGUCGUGCUGGGGUGCUGCUCUGGGGGCAAUGCAGGCGGGCUGGAAAGCACACACAGGUUUCCCUUGCGCAGCACAAACCCCAUCGCGUGGGUGGCACGGGUGGGAGGCAGAGGAUGCGGGGACGGGACAUGGGGGUGAGCUCCCAGCCCAGAGAGGGGCAAACCCCAAUAAACGAAUGGGCGCACAC